rnacentral:rRNA from 1 species
UACGGAAGGCAGCAGCGGGGAAUAUUGCACAAUGGGCGAAAGCCUGAUGCAGCUAUGCCGCGUGUAUGAAGAAGGCCUUAGGGUUGUAAAGUACUUUCAUCGGGGAGGAAAAACAAAACUAAUAAUUUUAUUUCUUGACGUUACCCGAAAAAGAAGCACCGGCUAACUCCGUGCCAGCAGCCGCGGUAAUACGGAGGGUGCUAGCGUUAAUCAGAAUUACUGGGCGUAAAGAGCACGUAGGUGGUUUUUUUAAGUCAGAUGUGAAAUCCCUGGGCUUAACCUAGGAACUGCAUUUUGAAACUGAAAUACUAGAGUAUCGUAGAGGGAGGUAGAAUUCUAGGUGUAGCGGUGAAAUGCGUAGAUAUCUGGAGGAAUACCUGUGGCGAAAGCGGCCUCCUAAACGAAUACUGACACUGAGGGUGCGAAAGCGUGGGGAGCAAACAGGGAUUAGAUACC